rnacentral:rRNA from 2 species
UGGAAGACUGAUAGACUGAGUGGCGGACGGGUGAGUAACGCGUGGGCAACCUGCCCCAUACCGGGGGAUAGCAGUUGGAAACGACUGGUAAAACCGCAUAAGCGCACGGUAAGGCAUCUUACAGUGUGAAAAACUCCGGUGGUAUGGGAUGGGCCCGCGUCUGAUUAGCCAGUUGGUGAGGUAACGGCUCACCAAAGCGACGAUCAGUAGCCGGCCUGAGAGGGCGGACGGCCACAUUGGGACUGAGACACGGCCCAGACUCCUACGGGAGGCAGCAG